UACGGAGGGUGCAAGCGUUAUCCGGAUUCACUGGGUUUAAAGGGUGCGUAGGUGGGUUUGUAAGUCAGUGGUGAAAUCUCCAAGCUUAACUUGGAAACUGCCGUUGAUACUAUAAAUCUUGAAUGUUGUGGAGGUGAGCGGAAUAUGUCAUGUAGCGGUGAAAUGCUUAGAUAUGACAUAGAACACCAAUUGCGAAGGCAGCUCACUACACAAAGAUUGACACUGAUGCACGAAAGCGUGGGGAUCAAACAGG
rnacentral:rRNA from 1 species